ACGAAGGUCCCGAGCGUUGUUCUGAAUCACUGGGCGUAAAGGGAGCGUAGGCGGCGUGGUAAGUCAGACGUGAAAGCCCGGGGGCUCAACCCCGGAACUGCGUCCGAUGCUGCCGUGCUUUGAGGGUUGGAGAGGUAGCUGGAAUUCUUGGUGUAGCAGUGAAAUGCGUGGAGAUCAAGAGGAACACUCGUGGCGAAAGCGAGCUACUGGACAACACCUGACGCUGAGGCUCGAAGGCCAGGGUAGCGAAAGGGAUUAGAUACCCCUGUAGUCCUGGCAGUAAACGGUGCACGCUUGGUGUGGGAGGACUCGACCCCUCCUGUGCCGGAGCAAACGCGUUAAGCGUGCCGCCUGGGAAGUACGGUCGCAAGGCUA
rnacentral:rRNA from 1 species